UCGAGUUGUCCUACUGCCCCUGGAGUUGUUGUCCAUGGUUGCCCUGUCGUUUCUUGAUUCUAUCUCUGCUCAUUUGUCUAGACAUAUUCUGUUGUGAGAGUGGUAGAAUGAUACAUACAUGUUAUAUUAAUAAGAGAGGAAUUAGGAAGUGUUUUAUCAUUGUAGAAAGAUUAUUUACGUUUGGCCUGAUUUCUGAAUUCUGAUUGCAAUCAAUGAGAAAUACAAGUUCAACCCCCUAGCAUUUCGAUGUUCAAUUAUUGAUUCUCUUCUCUGGGUCCGUCUUUCACUUGGACCAUCAAACAAGACACGAAAGUUCCAUCAUACCUGGUCGCUCUCUCAUUCUGGAUCUGACCAAGUGGCGAGGACUCUAAUUCUUGCUCUGCUUCCGACGGGAACUUGGGUUUAAACUUGGACGACGACUGUCGACUUACUAGUGUGAGGGACGAUGACCAGUAGUAGGCUUUGCCUCCUGCAAUUGAAGUGGGGCGAUGGAGACUAGAGUCCGAUUCUGGAGACAGGGAGUUUCCUCUCUGGGGUACUUGGGAAAUUUGUAGAUUCAGAUCCCUUACAGCUCCCAUCCACCACCACCGACGAAAGCAACAUAGACUUCUUCGUCAUCGUUCAACAUGUUUGAUGCGGAGGAGAAGCUC
rnacentral:lncRNA from 1 species